GCGGGUGUAACUCAGUUGGUAGAGUAUCAGCUUCCCAAGUUGAAUGUCGCAGGUUCGAGCCCUGUCACCCGCUCCA
rnacentral:tRNA from 1 species